UACGAAGGGGGCUAGCGUUGCUCGGAAUCACUGGGCGUAAAGCGCACGUAGGCGGAUUGUUAAGUCAGGGGUGAAAUCCUGGAGCUCAACUCCAGAACUGCCUUUGAUACUGAGGAUCUUGAGUUCGGGAGAGGUGAGUGGAACUGCGAGUGUAGAGGUGAAAUUCGUAGAUAUUCGGAAGAACACCAGUGGCGAAGGCGACUGACUGGACAAGUAUUGACGCUGAGGUGCGAAAGCGUGGGGAGCAAACAGG
rnacentral:rRNA from 1 species